AUAAAUAAAUUUAAAAAUUAAUUUCGACUUAAUUAAAGAUAAUUAUUUAUCUAUUUAUA
rnacentral:tRNA from 1 species